UGGGAGCUUGCUCCUGGAUUAGUGGCGAACGGGUGAGUAACGCGUGAGUAACCUGCCCUUAACUCUGGGAUAAGCCUGGGAAACUGGGUCUAAUACCGGAUAUGACUCCUCAUCGCAUGGUGGGGGGUGGAAAGCUUUAUUGUGGUUUUGGAUGGACUCGCGGCCUAUCAGCUUGUUGGUGAGGUAAUGGCUUACCAAGGCGACGACGGGUAGCCGGCCUGAGAGGGUGACCGGCCACACUGGGACUGAGACACGGCCCAGACUCCUACGGGAGGCAGCAGUGGGGAAUAUUGCACAAUGGGCGCAAGCCUGAUGCAGCGACGCCGCGUGAGGGAUGACGGCCUUCGGGUUGUAAACCUCUUUCAGUAGGGAAGAAGCGAAAGUGACGGUACCUGCAGAAGAAGCGCCGGCUAACUACGUGCCAGCAGCCGCGGUAAUACGUAGGGCGCAAGCGUUAUCCGGAAUUAUUGGGCGUAAAGAGCUCGUAGGCGGUUUGUCGCGUCUGCCGUGAAAGUCCGGGGCUCAACUCCGGAUCUGCGGUGGGUACGGGCAGACUAGAGUGAUGUAGGGGAGACUGGAAUUCCUGGUGUAGCGGUGAAAUGCGCAGAUAUCAGGAGGAACACCGAUGGCGAAGGCAGGUCUCUGGGCAUUAACUGACGCUGAGGAGCGAAAGCAUGGGGAGCGAACAGGAUUAGAUANCCUGGUAGUCCAUGCCGUAAACGUUGGGCACUAGGUGUGGGGGACAUUCCACGUUUUCCGCGCCGUAGCUAACGCAUUAAGUG
rnacentral:rRNA from 1 species